GAAGAUUCUUAAAGGCCUGCUUCUGCUUCGACGUCUCGAAGAACUCUGGGUCGCAGAUCGGGUCCUGCGUCGAAUCGUCGGGUUACCGAGAAGUCUGGAGAUUCGAUAAGUCAUUUAAUUACUUGACGCUCACGGGGAAGUGUUCAGCCGGGUAACUGGUCAGCCACAAACGGAAAUCCGGAUGGACGGUUUCUGGGGUGAGAUUCUCGCAGAUCUACGCAGCGGGAAGGACACUCUCAAUAGUGGACAGGCAUCCAGCUUUUCGCCAGGUGGCAGUUUUGAAGGACGACCCAUGUGCCAUUCUUAAUACCCUCGUCGAUAAGAGUCACGG